rnacentral:rRNA from 1 species
UAAUACGAAGGAUUCGAGCGUUAUCCGGAUUUAUUGGGUUUAAAGGGUGCGUAGGUGGACUAAUAAGUCAGUGGUGAAAGCCCGCAGCUUAACUGCGGAACUGCCAUUGAUACUGUUAGUCUUGAGUACAGUUGAGGUGGGCGGAAUGUGUCAUGUAGCGGUGAAAUGCUUAGAUAUGACACAGAACACCGAUUGCGAAGGCAGCUCACUAAGCUGUAACUGACACUGAGGCACGAAAGUGUGGGUAGCAAACAGGAUUAGAUACCCUGGUAGUCCACACCCUAAACGAUGAUAACUCGUUGUUGGCGAUACACAGUCAGCGACUAAGCGAAAGCAUUAAGUUAUCCACCUGGGGAGUACGGUCGCAAGACUG